UACGAAGGGGGCUAGCGUUGCUCGGAAUCACUGGGCGUAAAGGGUGCGUAGGCGGGUCUUUAAGUCGGGGGGGAAAUCCUGGAGCUCAACUCCAGAACUGCCUUUGAUACUGAAGAUCUUGAGUUCGGGAGAGGUGAGUGGAACUGCGAGUGUAGAGGUGAAAUUCGUAGAUAUUCGCAAGAACACCAGUGGCGAAGGCGGCUCACUGGCCCGAAACUGACGCUGAGGCACGAAAGCGUGGGGAGCAAACAGG
rnacentral:rRNA from 1 species